rnacentral:rRNA from 1 species
UGGGGAAUAUUGGGCAAUGGGCGCAAGCCUGACCCAGCAACGCCGCGUGAAGGAAGAAGGCUUUCGGGUUGUAAACUUCUUUUGUCAGGGACGAUAAUGACGGUACCUGACGAAUAAGCCACGGCUAACUACGUGCCAGCAGCCGCGGUAAUACGUAGGUGGCAAGCGUUAUCCGGAUUUACUGGGUGUAAAGGGCGUGUAGGCGGGACUGCAAGUCAGAUGUGAAAACUAUGGGCUCAACCCAUAGCCUGCAUUUGAAACUGUAGUUCUUGAGUACUGGAGAGGCAGGCGGAAUUCCGUGUGUAGCGGUGAAAUGCGUAGAUAUACGGAGGAACACCAGUGGCGAAGGCGGCCUGCUGGACAGCAACUGACGCUGAGGCGCGAAAGCGUGGGGAGCAAACAGG